GCAGCCGGGCGGCUCGUCGCUGACACCCUCAGGGUGUUUGAGGAAAGUCCGGGCAACACAGAGCACCAUAUUUCUUAACGGGAAGCUAUCGGCGACGGUAGAGAAGUGUGACAGAAAAUAACCGCCCUCCGUCCGCGGAGGGUAAGGGUGAAAAGGCGGGGUAAGAGCCCACCGGACCGCACAGCGAUAUGCGGUGCCGCACGCCUUAUGGGUUGCAAGGUCAAGUAUACCGGCAUUUAAGGGUUGCUCGCCCAUUGCCGGGGGGUAGACUGCUAUAGAGUGUCGGCAACGGCACUCACAGAUAAAUGACGGGCAGGCAACGUAACUCCCUCCCAGUGCGGGAAAGUGCGAGGCUUACAUAACCCGGCUUACAGCCCGACUGCUUUU
rnacentral:RNase_P_RNA from 1 species